UCCCAAAUAGUUGGCAGAGACCACACGUGGUCAGCGAAAGGCAGAGGGGUUCAGGGGGUGACACACAGACUGGGACACAUGUGCCACCUGGGGCUUAGCGGAAGUAGCUGGGACAUUCAUGGGCAAUCAAGUCCCAGGCUUGGUCAAAGGCC